UUUCUACUCCCUCCGUCCGAAAAUACUUGUCAUCAAAAUGGAUAAAAAGAGAUGGAUCUAAAACUAAAAUACGUCUAGAUACAUUUCCUUUUAUCCAUUUUGAUGACAAGUAUUUCCGGACGGAGGGAGUAUUUG
rnacentral:pre_miRNA from 1 species